AGAGAAAAAAGAAGAAGAUAAU
rnacentral:sRNA from 1 species